UGCAAUUCUGGGGAAAGUUGGGCAAAGCUGCCCGUCAGGGGAGUCCCGCGUUUCCCACGGACAGGCCUGCCUUGUUAUCCCCACGGUGUGAGGAACAUGCAGGAAGCCGUGGGGCGGGUUUCCGAGCACAGCGGCUGGGCCCUGGGUCAGCUGCGCUGCUGGCGGGAGGAGAUCUGAGGGUGCCUUGCCUUGGCUGCCACGUCGCCUUGUUCUCAUUUCUUGCUCUGGUCAAGGCUCAGGCUCAGCCUACCUUCCUCUUUUGUACUGUGAAAAGCAACUAAUCUAGGGCCAGGAUUCUUGCUGGCGCCUCUUUUACCCAAUGCCUGAUUUCUGUUCGGUCGGGAAAAGCAUUGCCCGUAGACGGUGGUACUUGGAGCUGAAGUAGUUCUGGGAUAUCUGGAUGCGGGGAGAUGGAGUUGCUGCCUUGAUCAUACAGAUGGUCUAACCUCAGGGCAUUUCAUAAGUGUUUAGCUGAGUAUUAAACAGUUCUGAUUUCCUGUGAUUUAUUACACAGUUCUUAAGGAGAAAAAAAAAAAGCCAGAACCAGUGAAGUUUUUUUUUGCUGGGAAGGGGGAAGUAUGGGAUUUGCUAGAGAUAGGGAUUUGGAAAAUAUAGGUCAAGGCAUUUUCUGCAGUCUUUUAUUUCUAUUCUCUUGAGAAAUCAAAUGUAAGCAUCUGUAACAAAUGAAUGUAAUGAAAUGGAAAUAAUUUUUGCCUAGCAUUGGAAAGUUAAGGAUUCAUUAAAAUAUUAACUCCUGGAAGGCAAGGAUUGUUUUUCUGAAGCUGUGUGACACCUAGUGGGUAUCUGUGCAGAACAGGACUUCAUUGUUCUUUGGUGCUCUUCCAUGAUGGCAGCAAAUAAUCCACAUGGAGAGAGAGAUUUGGAUACACGCAAAUCAGAGGGAAGAAGGCUAUGGAAGAUGCACACCCAGGUUGGAGUUAUGCUGCCGAAAGCCAAGGAAUGCCAAAGAUGGCUGGCAACCACCAGAAGCUAGAAAAGGCAAGGAAGAUUCUUCCCUGGUGACUUCAGAGGGAGCACAGCCCUGAUGGCACCUUAAUUUCAGACGUCUAGCCUCCAGAACUGUGAGA